rnacentral:rRNA from 1 species
UUUACAUUUGAGUGAGUGGCGAACUGGUGAGUAACACGUGGGAAACCUGCCCAGAAGCGGGGGAUAACACCUGGAAACAGAUGCUAAUACCGCAUAACAACUUGGACCGCAUGGUCCGAGCUUGAAAGAUGGCUUCGGCUAUCACUUUUGGAUGGUCCCGCGGCGUAUUAGCUAGAUGGUGGGGUAACGGCUCACCAUGGCAAUGAUACGUAGCCGACCUGAGAGGGUAAUCGGCCACAUUGGGACUGAGACACGGCCCAAACUCCUACGGGAGGCAGCAGUAGGGAAUCUUCCACAAUGGACGAAAGUCUGAUGGAGCAACGCCGCGUGAGUGAAGAAGGGUUUCGGCUUGUAAAACUCUGUUGUUAAAGAAGAACAUAUCUGAGAGUAACUGUUCAGGUAUUGACGGUAUUUAACCAGAAAGCCACGGCUAACUACGUGCCAGCAGCCGCGGUAAUACGUAGGUGGCAAGCGUUGGCCGGAUUUAUUGGGCGUAAAGCGAGCGCAGGCGGUUUUUUAAGUCUGAUGUGAAAGCCUUCGGCUCAACCGAAGAAGUGCAUCGGAAACUGGGAAACUUGAGUGCAGAAGAGGACAGUGGAACUCCAUGUGUAGCGGUGAAAUGCGUAGAUAUAUGGAAGAACACCAGUGGCGAAGGCGGCUGUCUGGUCUGUAACUGACGCUGAGGCUCGAAAGUAUGGGUAGCAAACAGGAUUAGAUACCCUGGUAGUCCAUACCGUAAACGAUGAAUGCUAAGUGUUGGAGGGUUUCCGCCCUUCAGUGCUGCAGCUAACGCAUUAAGCAUUCCGCCUGGGGAGUACGGCCGC